UACGUAGGGCGCAAGCGUUGUCCGGAAUUAUUGGGCGUAAAGAGCUCGUAGGCGGUCUGUCGCGUCUGCUGUGAAAACUCAGGGCUUAACCCUGAGCUUGCAGUGGGUACGGGCAGACUAGAGUGCGGUAGGGGAGACUGGAAUUCCUGGUGUAGCGGUGAAAUGCGCAGAUAUCAGGAGGAACACCGGUGGCGAAGGCGGGUCUCUGGGCCGAUACUGACGCUGAGGAGCGAAAGCGUGGGGAGCGAACAGG
rnacentral:rRNA from 1 species